UUAAAAAUGUUUUUAUUCAGCACCCAAAUUGAUGCCUUUCUGGACCUUUCUGGGUUUCUUCUGGACUAUUACUGAACUCCGAGCAGAGAACUGGGGAGACUGACAGCCGUGAAUAUAGGAUGGGUUGUGCUUGUAGUGACCAGAAACAUCGCAAAGACUCUAAAGGGCAUGAACAUAAUAAUUCAUCAAACUCUAACCACUUUCAUUUGUCAAGAGAUCACAGGAAGCAGAGCAACAGUCUAGAUGAAGAUAUUGUCAUUGCUCAAUAUGACUUCCAGCCUGCUAGUGAUAAUGAUCUACAGUUCAAAAAAGGAGACAGACUCAAGAUUAUUAAAGAGACUGGUGAAUGGUGGUUGGCGAAGUCCUUGGUCACUGGUUAUGAGGGAUAUAUUCCGUCUACAUAUGUGGCAAGAGCACACACGAUGGAGGUGGAGAGAUGGUUUUUCAAGGACAUGAGUCGGAGAGACACAGAACGUUUUCUGCUGGCACCAGGAAACAAACCUGGAGCAUUUCUUGUGAGAGAAAGUGAAACAACCAAAGGUGCUUUCUCUCUGUCUAUAAGAGACUCUACCCCAGAGCAUGGUGAUGUAGUCAAGCAUUAUAAGAUCCGAGGCCUUGAUAACGGUGGUUUCUACAUCUCUCCCUCCACAACCUUUUCUUCUCUUCAGGAACUAGUAAAAUAUUACUCCAGGACAGCAGAUGGUUUAUGCCAGAAGCUAGGAAGUCCGUGUAAAACUGCUUCCCCUCAGAGACCCUGGGCUCAAGAUGAGUGGGAGAUUCCCAGAGAGACUCUGAAAAUGGUGAAAAAACUGGGUGCCGGUCAGUUUGGAGAAGUGUGGAUGGGGUACUACAAAAACUCCCAGAAAGUUGCCAUCAAGACUUUAAAGGAAGGCACCAUGGAGCCAGAGGCAUUCCUUCAGGAGGCUAAUCUGAUGAAGAAGCUCCAGCACGAGAGACUGGUCAAACUGCAUGCUGUAGUCACCAAAGAACCCAUAUAUAUUGUCACAGAAUACAUGGCUAAUGGAAGCUUGUUAGACUUUCUGAAGACGGAAGAUGGCCACAAAUUAAAACUUCCCAAGCUGAUUGAUAUGACUGCUCAAAUUGCAGAGGGAAUGGCUUUCAUCGAAAGGAAAAAUUACAUUCACAGAGACCUGCGUGCCGCUAAUAUUCUAGUCUCUGAGACCCUGCACUGUAAAAUAGCAGACUUUGGCCUUGCCAGGAUCAUAGAAUCUGAAUACACUGCACAAGAAGGUGCAAAGUUCCCUAUUAAAUGGACGGCCCCUGAGGCCAUCAACUUUGGUACUUUCACCAUCAAGUCAGACGUGUGGUCCUUUGGAGUUCUUUUGACAGAGAUUGUCACGUACGGCAGAGUGCCAUAUCCAGGCAUGACGAAUCCAGAGGUGAUCCGUAACCUUGACAGGGACUACAGGAUGCCGUGUCCAGAUGGAUGUCCAGAGGAGCUUUAUGACAUCAUGCUGAAGUGCUGGAGGGAUAGGCCAGAGGACAGGCCCACCUUUGACCACCUACAGGACGUACUCAAUGACUUUUUCAUUGCUACAGAGGGCCAGUACGAGAUGCAACCAUGACCUCAAUGCAGCACCAAUAGAUGAACUGAAAAGGGGAUGCACAAAAACAUAUGGAAUGAUAGGAUGGACUAAACUCCGGAUCAAAGUAUGGAUUAUGGGGAAUAUACUAAAGGAACAAUAAUGAAUCCCUGUAUAUCAGUAAAUAAUUUUUUACAUUUACUGUAUGCCAGUUUUGUCAAGAUUUUUUUCUUAGAUUUGUUUUAUCUUGUGGGCUUCUUAGGGUAUUUCAUAAUUUUUUUAAAGAUAACUAAGAACGCAACCAACACCCAAGAGCUGCUCCUGUGGUUUCCUGCCUGCCUGUAUGCAACUGAAACAGGAAGCAGUGAGUCAGCAUUCCUAUCAAGAUAAGCACUCUAUGGCUCGGAAUUCCAAACAUGCUGCUGAAGGUUUUCUCAGCAUUCAUAGAAAAUCAAAGGUUUCCAUUUAAGCAAAAUAUUUCUGGGAAGUGCAUGCUGAAACCAAGUUUUGAUUCAUCAGUGCUCUCAAGCUGUGUUAAUGAUACAGGAGGUACUUAUGCAAGCUUAUUUGAUAUCUGUUCAUAUAGUAAGGAAUGUUCAUUUGAUGGAAUGAUGAUAUUUAACAGAAGUUGAUGAAUUAACUUGCUUAUCACUGACAUUAGUGGCUUUGUUGACUGUGGCAGUGGAAAUGAAUC